rnacentral:tRNA from 1 species
ACCUGGGUGGCUCAGUGGUUGAGUGCCUGCCUUUAGCUCAGGUUGUGACACAGGGACCCAGGAUCAAGUCCUGCAUCGGGUU